rnacentral:rRNA from 1 species
AUUGAACGCUGGCGGCAGGCCUAAUACAUGCAAGUCGAGCGGAGCGGCGGACGGGUGAGUAGUGCCUAGGAAUCUGCCUGGUAGUGGGGGAUAACGUCCGGAAACGGGCGCUAAUACCGCAUACUAUCAGAUGAGCCUAGGUCGGCUUAGCUCGUUGGUGGGGUAAAGCCCUACCAAGGCGACGAUCCGUAACUGGUCUGAGAGGAUGAUCAGUCAAACUGGAAAGGAGAAACGGGCCAGACUCCGACGGGAGGCAGCAUUGGGGAAUAUUGGACAAUGGGCGAAAGCCUGAUCCAGCCAUGCCGCGUGUGUGAAGAAGGUCUUCGGAUUGUAAAGCACUUUUAGUUGAGAGGCGUUACCGACAGAGUAAGCACCGGCUAACUUCGUGCCAGCAGCCGCGGUAAUUC